rnacentral:rRNA from 1 species
AGCGAACGUUAGCGGCGGGCCUAACACAUGCAAGUCGAGCGAGAAAGGGGCUUCGGCUCCGAGUAAAGCGGCAGACGGGUGAGGAACACGUAGGUAACCUUCCUUUCAGCGGAGGACAACGGUCCGAAAGGACCGCUAAUACUGCAUACGUUCCCCGGAUUCGAUUCUGGGAGGAAAGCCUCGCAAGGGGCGACUGAAAGAAGGGGCCGUGCGUCGCAUCAGCUAGUUGGUGGGGUAACGGCCUACCAAGGCGAAGACGCGUAGCUGGUCUGAGAGGAUGAUCAGCCACACUGGGACUGAGACACGGCCCAGACUCCUACGGGAGGCAGCAGUGGGGAAUAUUGGACAAUGGGCGCAAGCCUGAUCCAGCCACGCCGCGUGAGUGAUG